AAGAUUCGACCCUCACGGGUCUAUCCCUUCUUCAGCUGUGCGCUUCGGCUGCACGCUGUCGAAACCUCACACACCUGUGCACCUUACGGUUGCGCUCAGUCGCUUCCGCAUUUACACAUACAAACACAGUCCAGAAUGUCACAUACCAUAACAUAAUAA
rnacentral:misc_RNA from 1 species